UGGAAAGGCGUGCGAUACAGGGUGACAGCCCCGUACACAAAAAUGCACAUACUGUGAGCUCGAUGAGUAGGGCGGGACACGUGGUAUCCUGUCUGAAUAUGGGGGGACCAUCCUCCAAGGCUAAAUACUCCUGACUGACCGAUAGUGAACCAGUACCGUGAGGGAAAGGCGAAAAGAACCCCGGCGAGGGGAGUGAAAAAGAACCUGAAACCGUGUACGUACAAGCAGUGGGAGCCUCUUAAUGGGGUGACUGCGUACCUUUUGUAUAAUGGGUCAGCGACUUAUAUUCUGUAGCAAGGUUAACCGAAUAGGGGAGCCGAAGGGAAACCGAGUCUUAACUGGGCGUUAAGUUGCAGGGUAUAGACCCGAAACCCGGUGAUCUAGCCAUGGGCAGGUUGAAGGUUGGGUAACACUAACUGGAGGACCGAACCGACUAAUGUUGAAAAAUUAGCGGAUGACUUGUGGCUGGGGGUGAAAGGCCAAUCAAACCGGGAGAUAGCUGGUUCUCCCCGAAAGCUAUUUAGGUAGCGCCUCGUGAAUUCAUCUCCGGGGGUAGAGCACUGUUUCGGCAAGGGGGUCAUCCCGACUUACCAACCCGAUGCAAACUGCGAAUACCGGAGAAUGUUAUCACGGGAGACACACGGCGGGUGCUAACGUCCGUCGUGAAGAGGGAAACAACCCAGACCGCCAGCUAAGGUCCCAAAGUCAUGGUUAAGUGGGAAACGAUGUGGGAAGGCCCAGACAGCCAGGAUGUUGGCUUAGAAGCAGCCAUCAUUUAAAGAAAGCGUAAUAGCUCACUGGUCGAGUCGGCCUGCGCGGAAGAUGUAACGGGGCUAAACCAUG
rnacentral:rRNA from 1 species